CCUUACCAAAAAACAAAAUUAAAUGAUUUUAAUGAAAAAUGAGUUGACAAAAAAAUCUACAAACCAAAAACAAACUUUCUUGAAAUAUGCAGCCUUCUUUUAGUGGUGAAAGGGUAGGGAAGGGCAAUCAAUUGGACCAACCCUCCUUAAGUGUUAAUAUUGGAGUCUUGUACCCCCUGCAAAAUAUCCACUUUGAGCCAUAGCAGAUGCCGCAGAGUCUUGACCCUAGAAGGGUCCCCAGAGUUAAGAUUUUGAGGAUCUGAAGCUGAACUCAUCAUUGUAGCCAAUUGGCAUCCCAGCGUGAAAUACUCUUUU